rnacentral:lncRNA from 1 species
CUCUCUCCCUCUUUCUUCUCCGGUCAAUAGCCCGGCCGAGAGCCACCGUGUCGAUCACCGGUCGCCGGCGCCGGCACCGCCGAGCACGGCGGCGGGGAGACCAAAAGUCUCCCCCUUUUUUCUUCGACGCAACCCUCUGAUUCCGAGCACUCCAACGACGACGAAAAAACGGUAAAAACUUCCCUUUUUAUUCUUUUAUUUUGAAUAUAAAUAAUAAAAUAGCAAGAAAAAGAACAAAAAGAAAAAAAGAAGGCCACCACCUUAAGACACGAUUUCGGUUCUUUUAUUUCUCAAAAUGUUGUUUUUCUUUUGCUUUUGAUUCACUAGUGUCCCCUCUACAAUGGUUUGCAAUCAGUUUCUUUA